rnacentral:rRNA from 1 species
CCUACGGGAGGCAGCAGUGGGGAAUAUUGGACAAUGGGGGAAACCCUGAUCCAGCGACGCCGCGUGAGUGAAGAAGUAUUUCGGUACGUAAAGCUUUAUCAGCAGGGAAGAAAAUGACGGUACCUGUCUAAGAAGCCCCGGCUAACUACGUGCCAGCAGCCGCGGUAAUACGUAGGGGGCAAGCGUUAUCCGGAUUUACUGGGUGUAAAGGGAGCGUAGACGGGUGUGCAAGUCUGGAGUGAAAUGCCGCGGCCCAAUCCUGGAACUGCUCUGGAUACUGUGAAGCUGGAGUGCAGGAGAGGUAAGCGGAAUUCGUGGUGUAGCGGUGAAAUGCGUAGAUAUCAGGAAGAACACCGACGGCGAAGGCGGCUUACUGGACUGUAACUGACGUUGAGGCUCGAAGGCGUGGGGAGCAAACAGGAUUAGAUACCCGAGUAGUC